UACGGAGGAUGCAAGCGUUAUCCGGAAUGAUUGGGCGUAAAGCGUCCGCAGGUGGCUGUGUAAGUCUGCUGUUAAAGAGUGAGGCUCAACCUCAUAAAAGCAGUGGAAACUACACAGCUAGAGUGCGUUCGGGGCAGAGGGAAUUCCUGGUGUAGCGGUGAAAUGCGUAGAGAUCAGGAAGAACACCGGUGGCGAAGGCGCUCUGCUAGGCCGCAACUGACACUGAGGGACGAAAGCUAGGGGAGCGAAU
rnacentral:rRNA from 1 species